GAAAUAGGGCGCUGGCUUUGCCAGGAGCGGCUCCUCUCCAAGCCUGGCGGUCACUGCCCUGUGUCCCCUUUUGGGCCUCUCCUGGUCCUCCUGGUUGGAUUAGGAGGCCUCUCAGCCCGGAGUCUGGGUCGCCGAAGUACAGGCCCCUUCACUGAAGCGACCCACGGCGCAGGGGUUUCUGGAAGCCAUCGCCAGGCUCCGAGUGUUCAGAUGCAGCUGCCAGGCUCAGGACGCAGAGAACUGGCUUCCAGCUCGCAGGAGCGCCUGUCCGUGGUGGGUAGGGUCGCAGGCGUGGGGUGUGCAGGAGCAGUGGGACAGCACUGAAACGCAGUCGGAAGAGAUACCACGGUGUGCAGGCACAGGGAAAAGACCACGUGAGGACACAGAGAGAAGACGGCCGUCUGCAAGCCAAGGAGAGAGGCCUCAGGUGAAACCAAACCUGCAGGCACCUUGAUCUUGGACUUCCAGCCUCCAGAAGCUUGAGAAAAGAAAUUUCUGUUGUUUAAGACACCCAUUCUGUGGUAUUUGUUCUGGCAGCCCUAACAAACUAAUAUAGGGAUCUAAAGAUUCCUUGUCUUCAUUUUGAGUAAGAGACUAUAAACUCAGAACUGUGGAGAUCUAGUUAGGUAUUGUACAGCUAGCCUCAUUCUGUCUUAAACUCCAGGUAAAAGAGAAAAAUAUGGAGACAGCCCCUGACUUUGGAGAACUUGCAGUUUUGUGGAGGUGAAAGGAGGCAGCCACAAGAAAAACCCCUGACAUCAAUUCAAAACUAUAAAUAACAAAGACUAACUUGUUCUAUGCACAACAGGUACUACAGCACUGUCCAACAUGGGGACAUGUGAGUGGCCUGAAGCAGCACAAGAACUGGGCAAUAAACUUGAGAUGAACCUCAAAGCAUCAAUAUUAUUCAUGACUAAACUGGGUUCUAAGAAUUUCUAUUUUUACUCUCAGUGUUCAGUAGAGGUCAUUAAAAAAAAAUCUAGCAAUUUUUUUUUCUAAAAUGAAUAUGUAAUAAGAAUGAAAAACAAAAAGCACUAUAAUGUUUUUAAUUAAUGAAAUGCCUUUACGAACCAAGGUGCCAUCUUGGAGAAGCUAGGCAUUAUGAGGAGCUAUCAGGAGCACAUUUGCUAACAGCUUGGCAUGAGCAGGAUUUUCUUGACCAACUGGCAAGAUGGGGCUGCUCAGCUCCUGCUGGCAGAUUUUUAUGGAGCAUAGUUUUACAAAUUCAGCCUACAACUCUGAUACGUUCCAAUGUAUUUUAAACAUCUAUUCAGUUGCAACUCUAAUCCCAGGAACCUGUGGCUAACAGAAGGCAGAUUUAACUGACUAGCAGCUGUGGGAUUUUCAAAGUCUAAACUGAAAUGAACAUGCGAAACAGUUGGACUACCCCAAAAGCUGAAUUACAAUUCCAGCACUCACCAGCUCUGAAACCUCACUUGGUUACCUAACGCCUCUGUGCCUCAGUUCCCCAGCUAUAAAAUGGAAAAGGCAACAAUACCAACCUUGUAGAUUAUGUUUUGGAUUAAAUGAGGCAACACAUACACAGCACUUAGAACGUGCAAGGCACAAUGGAAGCAUGCAGUGAACAUGACUUGUAAUGAUGCUGACUGUCAUAACUCUCAUCCAUAGGGAUGCUGCCUCUGCUUGUCACCCUUGACCUAUAUAUUUUCAGGCAGUCCUCACCCAGUCCCCAUUUGUGUGUUCUAGAUAGAAAAGGCCCCAUACUAUGAAAUGACUACUGUCCUUCUGCAUGAAGCCUGGUGAACCUGAUAAUGUAGCCUUCAAGUUCCCUUACUGAGCCUUGAGCUCCCUUCAAAGUAUCCAAGCCAACCCUGUCUUGGGAAACUCACCUAGAUAAUGCCCUGAACCCCAAUAAAGGCUCCAGCCCACAGGUCCCUCCCUCUCUCUUGGUCCCCACCCUUUGGCUGGGCAUGUGUGUCCUCAAUGUCUCCAAGCCCUUCCAGUAAGCCCUGCAAGGUGUGCUGGCCACUGUUCUCUGGAAUCUGUGAGUAAUAAACAAUCUUUUUGCCAUUCUGCUC
rnacentral:lncRNA from 1 species